AGGUCACGCAGAGAAUCGAACCCGGGCCUUCUGGGUGAAAUCCAGAUAUCCUAGCCCCUAGACCACUUUGAUCAUAGCC